GGGCGUGGCCGCCGUGACCGCUUCGCCACGGGCGCCGCGUCCGGAGCCCGGCGCGGGGUCAGCGCGAGCGCGGGCACCGGGUCUCCUUGACAGGGCGUGACAUCACCGACGGGGCCGGUGACGGCGCGUGACACCACCGCCCCGCAGCAGCAGCGACCGGGUGUGACGUCACCUCUGACCCCACCGACAGGGCGUGGCAUCACCUCCGACCCCACUGACCAGGUGUGACAUCACCAGUGACCCAACUGACCGGGUGUGACAUCACCAGUGACCCCACUGACCGGGUGUGACAGCACCGUCGACCCCACCAGCCAGGUGUGACAUCACCAGUGACCCCACCAGCCGGGUGUGACAUCACUGCCGACCCCACUGACCAGUGUGACACCACCAGUGACCCCACCGACCAGGUGUGACAUCACCAGUGACCCCACCGAACAGGGUGUGACAUCACCUCUGACCCCACCUGCCAGACGUGACGUCACCAGUGACCUCACCGACCAGGCGUGACAUCACCGCCGACCCCACCCACCAGGCGUGACCUCACCAGCGACCCCACCAACCAGGUGUGACAUCACCGCUGGCCCCACCUGCCAGAUGUGACAUCACCAGUGACCCCACCAGCCAAGUGCGACGUCACCAGUGACCCCACCAGCUGGGCGUGACAUCACCAGCAACCCCACCAACCAGGUGUGACAUCACCGCUGGCCCCACCCACCAGGUGUGACAUCACCAGUGA